rnacentral:lncRNA from 1 species
AGGAGCAAAAGAUGGGGAGGAUAUCAGCAUCCAAGCUACCAGUAAAUUAGAUUCUACAAUAUACACCUAUAAAAAGAAUGAUGGUUCUCUUCUUAUGGCUGAUUGCAAUGCAGACUAUGAUAGAUGUCUUAUUAAGUGGUACAUUCGAGCUUCCUCCUCGAACCUUAUACAAAUAUCAACGAAUUGACGUAGGUAUUUAUUAGUGAUGAACUUUCUACAUAAACCAAAUUUAAAAGACCAUACCUAGGGAGAAUGUUUGGUUCUAAUGAAAGAAUCUAUAAUUACCAUCUUUGAAGGCAAGAUAUGUAGUAGAAAAUGCAUUUGAUUUGUUGACAACAAGGGGGAGGAUUUGUUCCCUUAUUAACAUCAAUCCAGAUCGAGUUGUUGAGUAG